rnacentral:rRNA from 1 species
UACGUAGGUGGCAAGCGUUAUCCGGAUUUAUUGGGCGUAAAGGGAACGCAGGCGGUCUUUUAAGUCUGAUGUGAAAGCCUUCGGCUUAACCGGAGUAGUGCAUUGGAAACUGGGAGACUUGAGUGCAGAAGAGGAGAGUGGAACUCCAUGUGUAGCGGUGAAAUGUGUAGAUAUAUGGAGGAACACCGGUGGCGAAAGCGGCUCUCUGGCCUGUAACUGACACUGAGGCUCGAAAGCGUGGGGAGCAAACAGG